rnacentral:rRNA from 1 species
GAUGAACGCUGGCGGCGUGCCUAAUACAUGCAAGUCGAGCGAACGGACGAGAAGCUUGCUUCUCUGAUGUUAGCGGCGGACGGGUGAGUAACACGUGGAUAACCUACCUAUAAGACUGGGAUAACUUCGGGAAACCGGAGCUAAUACCGGAUAAUAUUUUGAACCGCAUGGUUCAAAAGUGAAAGACGGUCUUGCUGUCACUUAUAGAUGGAUCCGCGCUGCAUUAGCUAGUUGGUAAGGUAACGGCUUACCAAGGCAACGAUGCAUAGCCGACCUGAGAGGGUGAUCGGCCACACUGGAACUGAGACACGGUCCAGACUCUUACGGGAGGCAGCAGUAGGGAAUCUUCCGCAAUGGGCGAAAGCCUGACGGAGCAACGCCGCGUGAGUGAUGAAGGUCUUCGGAUCGUAAAACUCUGUUAUUAGGGAAGAACAUAUGUGUAAGUAACUGUGCACAUCUUGACGGUACCUAAUCAGAAAGCCACGGCUAACUACGCG